AAGCGGAGGAAAAGAAACCAACAGGGAUUGCCCCAGUAACGGCGAGUGAAGCGGCAAGAGCUCAAAUUUGAAAGCUGGCUCCUUCGGGGUCCGCAUUGUAAUUUGCAGAGGAUGCUUCGGGAGCGGUCCCCAUCUAAGUGCCCUGGAACGGGACGUCAUAGAGGGUGAGAAUCCCGUAUGGGAUGGGGUGUCCGCGCCCGUGUGAAGCUCCUUCGACGAGUCGAGUUGUUUGGGAAUGCAGCUCUAAAUGGGUGGUAAAUUUCAUCUAAAGCUAAAUAUUGGCCGGAGACCGAUAGCGCACAAGUAGAGUGAUCGAAAGAUGAAAAGCACUUUGAAAAGAGAGUUAAAAAGCACGUGAAAUUGUUGAAAGGGAAGCGCUUGCGACCAGACUCGCUCGCGGGGUUCAGCCGGCAUUCGUGCCGGUGUACUUCCCCGCGGGCGGGCCAGCGUCGGUUUGGGCGGUCGGUCAAAGGCCCUCGGAAGGUAACGCCCCUAGGGGCGUCUUAUAGCCGAGGGUGCAAUGCGACCUGCCUAGACCGAGGAACGCGCUCGGCUCGACGC
rnacentral:rRNA from 1 species